rnacentral:misc_RNA from 1 species
GCGAGGUCAUGCGCGGCAACGACAAGGUGGUCGAUCCGCAUCUCGACUGGAACGAGCAGACCCCAUACCUCAAGCUUGCCGUCGAUCAGGAUCGCGCCCGUGCGCUCGGCCUGACGCCGCAGGACAUUUCGCAGUCGCUGGCGAUGCUGAUCUCCGGCGUGCAGGUGACGACGCUGCGCGACGGCAUCGAGAAGGUCGGUGUUGUCGCCCGCGCCGUGCCGUCGGAGCGGCUCGAUCUCGGCCGUGUCGGCGAUCUGACGAUCUAUUCGCGGGGCGGCGUUGCCGUGCCGCUGUCGCAGAUCGCCAAGAUC